rnacentral:rRNA from 1 species
CCUACGGGAGGCAGCAGUGGGGAAUAUUGCACAAUGGGCGCAAGCCUGAUGCAGCGACGCCGCGUGAGGGAUGACGGCCUUCGGGUUGUAAACCUCUUUCAGUGGGGAAGAAGCGAAAGUGACGGUACCUGCAGAAGAAGCGCCGGCUAACUACGUGCCAGCAGCCGCGGUAAUACGUAGGGCGCAAGCGUUAUCCGGAAUUAUUGGGCGUAAAGAGCUCGUAGGCGGUUUGUCGCGUCUGCUGUGAAAGACCGGGGCUCAACUCCGGUUCUGCAGUGGGUACGGGCAGACUAGAGUGCAGUAGGGGAGACUGGAAUUCCUGGUGUAGCGGUGAAAUGCGCAGAUAUCAGGAGGAACACCGAUGGCGAAGGCAGGUCUCUGGGCUGUAACUGACGCUGAGGAGCGAAAGCAUGGGGAGCGAACAGGAUUAGAUACCCUGGUAGUCCAUGCCGUAAACGUUGGGCACUAGGUGUGGGGGACAUUCCACGUUUUCCGCGCCGUAGCUAACGCAUUAAGUGCCCCGCCUGGGGAGUACGGCCGCAAGGCUAAAACUCAAAUGAAUUGACGGCUGAGAGNGCGAGACGACGACGAGGGAGAGG